rnacentral:rRNA from 1 species
CUUACGGGAGGCAGCAGUGGGGAAUAUUGCACAAUGGUGGACACCGUGAUGCAGCCAUGCAGCGUGUGUGAAGAAGGCCUUCGGGUUGUAAAGCACUUUCAGUUGUGAGGAACAGUUAGUAGCUAAUACCUGCUAGCCGUGACGUUAACAACAGAAGAAGCACCGGCUAACUCCGUGGCAGCAGCCGCGGUAAUACGGAGGGUGCGAGCGUUAAUCGGAAUUACUGGGCGUAAAGCGCACGCAGGCGGUUUCUUAAGCUAAAUGUGAAAGCCCCGGGCUCAACCUGGGAUGGUCAUUUAGAACUGGCAGACCAGAGUCUUGGAGAGGGGAGUGGAAUUCCAGGUGUAGCGGUGAAAUGCGUAGAUAUCUGGAGGAACAUCAGUGGCGAAGGCGACUCCCUGGCCAAAGACUGACGCUCAUGUGCGAAAGUGUGGGUAGCGAACAGGAUUAGAUACCGUGGUAGUCCACACCGUAAACGCUGUCUACUAGCUGUGUGUGUCUUUAAGACGUGCGUAGUGAAGCUAACGCGCUAAGUAGACCGCCUGGGGAGUACGGCCGCAAGGUUAAAACUCAAAUGAACUGACGGA